CCUACGGGAGGCAGCAGUGAGGAAUAUUGGUCAAUGGGCGUAAGCCUGAACCAGCCAAGUCGCGUGAGGGAUGAAGGUUCUAUGGGUUGUAAACCUCUUUUAUAAGGGAAUAAAGUGUGGGACGUGUCCUAUUUUGUAUGUACCUUAUGAAUAAGGAUCGGCUAACUCCGUGCCAGCAGCCGCGGUAAUACGGAGGAUCCGAGCGUUAUCCGGAUUUAUUGGGUUUAAAGGGUGCGUAGGCGGCCUUUUAAGUCAGCGGUGAAAGUCUGUGGCUCAACCAUAGAAUUGCCGUUGAAACGGGAGGGCUUGAGUAUGUUUGAGGCAGGCGGAAUGCGGGGUGUAGCGGUGAAAUGCUUAGAUAUCACGAAGAACUCCGAUUGCGAAGGCAGCUUACUAAACUGCCACUGACAUUGAUGCUCGAAAGUGUGGGUAUCAAACAGGAUUAGAUACCCCUUAGUC
rnacentral:rRNA from 1 species